rnacentral:sRNA from 1 species
AUUUGAUGUCAUGUGUAUGAGUGAGUAUGACAACUAGAACCAUAAUCGGACCUUAAAAUCCUAAGUAUUGAAUCUUUGUAAGAAGAUACAAAGACAAAGACUCAUACGGACUUCGACUACACUAUCAAUGCUUUGAGAAGCAAGAAGAAGCUUGGUUAAUGUUUUGGAGUCGAAAAUAACUUGAUGUGAUGUGUAUGAUUAAGUAUAAGAACUUAAACCUUAAAAGCUUAAGUAGUGUUUCCUUGAUAGAAGAUACAAAGGCAUAGACUCAUACGGAGUUUAGCUACACCAUCAAAGCUUUGAGAAGUAAGAAGAAGCUUGGUUACUGUUUAUGAGUCAAAUAUGACUAGAUGUCAUGUGUAUGAGUGAAUAUAACAACUAGAACCGCAAUUGGAUUUUAAGAGCCUAAGUAUUGUAUCCUUGUAAGAAGAUACAAAGACAAACACUCAUACGGACUUUGGCUACACCAUCAAAGCUUUGAGAAGGAAGACAAGCUUGGUUAG